AGCUAGAGUAUGAUGGAUUUUCUUCCAGUUUUGAGCUGGGCCAGGUGGCUCACGCCUGCAGUCUCAGCUAUUAAGGAGGCUGAGGCAGGAGGACUGCUUGAGCCCAGGAGUUCCAGACCCGUCUGAGCAAUACGGUGAGACCCCCAUCUCUUAAAAAAAUUUAAAAAUUACAUAUUUUCUUCAAGUUUUAUUUUAUUACAUCCUAUUUGCUAGGGCUGCCUUAAUAAAAUACCCCAGACCAGUUACUCCAAAAACAGGAUUUAUUUUCUCACAGUUGUGGAGGCUGGCAGUGCAAGAUCACGGUGUUGAGAGGGCUGGUUUCUUCUCAGGCCUCUCUCCUUGGCUUUUGGGUGGCCGCGUCCUCUCCCUGUGUCCUCACAUGGUCUUCCCUCUGUGUGAGUCUGUGUCCUAAUCUCCUUUUCUUAUAAAGACACCAGUCCUGUUAGAUUACGGCCCACUCUAAUGACCUCAUUUACCCUUAAUUACCUCUUUGAAGGCUCUGUUUCCAAAUACAGUCACAUCCUGAGAGGCUGAGGAUUAGGGCUUCAACGUACAAAUUGGUCGGGGGUGAGCCAAGGCACAAUUCAGCCUCUCUUUCACACACACACACACACACGCACACACACACACGCACACACACACACAAUUUUUUCUAUACAUCUUUGCAACUUGAUUUUUCUUAAAGUAAUUUCAACAUGUUUUCAUGUGAGAAGAAGACCUGUAUCCUUCUGAGGAAGCUGAGGUAUUGAAUCUUUAGCUUUUUAUCCUCCGUAGGAAAUGCAGGCCCACUGGGUCAUGACCAAGUCUCAGUUAGCAGGGCACAUGGGCCUUUCACAGCCUCUCAUCCUUCUUUUGAUUGCUUUUAUUUCUCCAUCUUUUCCUCUGACAUUUAUGUGAUAUUUUAUUUUAUUUUAUUUUAUUUUGAGACAGAGUCUCACUCUGUUGCCCAGGCUGGAGUGCAGUGGCGCCAUUUUGGCUCACUGCACCUUCCACCUCCCUGGUUCAAGUGAUUCUUCUGCCUCAGCCUCCCAAGUAGCUGGGAUCACAGGCGCCCGCCACCACACCCAGUUAAUUUUUGUCUUUUUAGUAGAGAUGGGGUUUUGCCAAUGUUGGCCAGGUCUGGAACUCCUGACCUCGGGUGAUCCACCCGCCUCGGCCUCCCAAAGUGCUGGGAUUACAGGCAUGAGCCACCACGCCCCGCCUGAUUUUUCUGUUUUGGAGAUGGGGUCUCGUUAUGUUGCCCAGUCUGGUCUCAAACUCCUGGCCUCCCAAAGUGCUGGGAUUACAGGCGUGUGCCACCAUGCCUGGCUAAUUUUUGUAUUUUUGGUGGAGACAGGGUUUGGCCAUGUUGGCCAGUCUGGUCUCAAACUCUUGGCCUCAAGUGAUCUGCCCGCCUUGGCCUCCCAAAGUGCUGGGAUUACAGGCAUGAGCUGCUGCGCAGGGUCUUCAUUCAGUUGAUUCCUUUCUACAUCUUUCCUCUCUUUGGCUUCUAGAGGUCACAUGCACUUUCUUUUUUGUGUAAGUGCAAGGCAUGUGUUAUCUGAAAGUCCCUGCUGUUUUCACAAAUGCUUUCUCCACCUGUGGGGGUGGCCAUGAGCCUGUGGCUUCAGCUUCUGGGAAAGCUGAGGUGGGAAGAUCGCUUAAGGCCAAGAGUUGGAUGAAUGUUUUCUCCAAGUCUUCUCUUUGACCCUCAGGGUGAAUAGUUUCUCCCUGACCGCUCUCCUCCUUGUAGUUGGUAUUUGUGAAUUUCCUCUACUAUCUCCCUCUGGAAUUCUGCCCUGGUAGGUCAAGUUUGGUCCUGCAGGCAUACCCUCAGCUUUUAGAUUCUUCUCAUUUUCAGAUGAGUCUUUGCAGGUAUUGGUGCAGCUAAACACAGGGAAGGUAGUGUGCUGCCCUAUGACAUUAUGAUGGCUACAGCUACAACAUCACUAGGUGAUAGCAAUUUUUCAGCUCCAUUAUACUCUUAUGAGACCACUAUUGUAUAUGUAUCCAUUAUUGAACAAAACAUUGCUAUGUAACACAUGACUGUAUUCACCUAAAUAUUCUUCUAGUAAGUACAAAGUGACUCCAAUUUUUUUUCCAAAUGACUAGCCAACGUUUCCAAUGUCGUUUGUUCAACUAUCCAAACUUUUCUCAGUUAUAUGAUAUAUGG
rnacentral:lncRNA from 10 species